rnacentral:pre_miRNA from 1 species
AAUAAGUGCAUUUUUGCACUAUUCACGUUCAACGUUUGACCGUUUAUCUUAUUUGAUUAGUAUUUCUAUUGCUAUUAGAAGAUAAAACAUGAAUAGUACUUUAUGUGUGACUAAAUAUUUUCAAAUUUUUCACAAAUUUUUCAAAUAACACGGACAGUCAAAUGUUGGGCACAAAUAUCCACUGCUGCACUUAUU